AUUGAACGCUGGCGGCAUGCCUUACACAUGCAAGUCGAACGGUAACGGGCCUUCGGGUGCCGUCGAGUGGCGAACGGGCGAGUAAUACAUCGGAACGUGCCCGAUCGUGGGGGAUAACGAGGCGAAAGCUUUGCUAAUACCGCAUACGAUCUACGGAUGAAAGCAGGGGACCGCAAGGCCUUGCGCGGACGGAGCGGCCGAUGGCCGAUUAGGUAGUUGGUGGGAUAAAAGCUUACCAAGCCGACGAUCUGUAGCUGGUCUGAGAGGAUGAUCAGCCACACUGGGACUGAGACACGGCCCAGACUCCUACGGGAGGCAGCAGUGGGGAAUUUUGGACAAUGGGCGCAAGCCUGAUCCAGCCGUGCCGCGCGCAGGAUGAAGGCCUUCGGGUUGUAAACUGCUUUUGUACGGAACGAAAAGCCUUCUUUUAAUACAGGAGGGUCAUGACGGUACCGUAAGAAUAAGCACCGGCUAACUACGUG
rnacentral:rRNA from 1 species